AUGCAGGCACUGGCCUUUUGUGAAGAUGUGGACUUGAGAUCUCUGGAUCAAAGCUGCAGGAGAAGCAAUUUGAUUCUGGCAUGGAGUUCUUCUACAGCUGACUUAUUCACCUGACUCAUUUCUGAACAUCUGUUGAUCUUCAAUCCUUCUAAUAAUGCCGCUGUCAACACUUAACAUUUUGCAAGUCUUUUAAAGCCUUGUAGUCUUCUAACGAGGUGGUUAUGGCCCUUUAAGUUUUUUUUUUGGCAAAAUGUUUAGUGUUUGAGGCAUCAUUGAGUGGUUAAAGUUUGUUUUGGAUGCAUAAAAUGUGCCCAGUCUGUAUAAUAGUGCAAAAUAAAAUUAAAUGUGUUUGUGUGGUUUAUGAUUUUCAACUGAAUUAUAAUUUAAAAAAAGUGCUUCUAGCAAUUAUCUAAAACUUGAGGUCUGCAGCUCUGCACAAUUAGCUCAAUCCACCUCCAACUAACCUGCUUUUAAUCUGCAGCUGUUUCUAACUCCUUGAUUAGUUGAAGCAGCUGUGUUUGAUUAGGGUGGAAGCAAAACUGCAGAGCUGCAUCUCCAGCAAGAGAGUUGGCACUUACCUACAGAUUUUUCAUGUUUUGAGAAUUUAUUUUA
rnacentral:lncRNA from 1 species